rnacentral:rRNA from 1 species
GACGUAGGGGGCGAGCGUUGUCCGGAUUUAUUGGGCGUAAAGCGCGCGUAGGCGGUUCGUUAAGUCGGGUGUGAAAACUCGGGGCUUAACUCCGGGCCUGCAGUGGGUACGGGCAGACUAGAGUGCGGUAGGGGAGACUGGAAUUCCUGGUGUAGCGGUGAAAUGCGCAGAUAUCAGGAGGAACACCGGUGGCGAAGGCGGGUCUCUGGGCCGUAACUGACGCUGAGGAGCGAAAGCGUGGGGAGCGAACAGG